UACGUAGGGGGCAAGCGUUGUUCGGAAUUACUGGGCGUAAAGGGCGCGUAGGCGGCACGGCAAGUCAGGAGUGAAAGCCCGGGGCUCAACCCCGGAAUGUCUUUUGAAACUGCCGAGCUAGAGUGCGGAAGAGGCAACUGGAAUUCCCAGUGUAGCGGUGAAAUGCGUAGAUAUUGGGAAGAACACCCGUGGCGAAGGCGGCUCUCUGGGACGGUACUGACGCUGAGACGCGAAAGCGUGGGGAGCGAACAGG
rnacentral:rRNA from 1 species